GGGAAUUUUCCGCAAUGGGCGAAAGCCUGACGGAGCAACGCCGCGUGAGGGAAGAAGGCCUCUGGGCUGUAAACCUCUUUUCUCAAGGAAGAAGAUCUGACGGUACUUGAGGAAUAAGCCACGGCUAAUUCCGUGCCAGCAGCCGCGGUAAUACGGGAGUGGCAAGCGUUAUCCGGAAUUAUUGGACGUAAAGCGUCCGCAGGCGGCCUUUCAAGUCUGCUGUUAAAGCGUGGAGCUUAACUCCAUUAAGGCAGUGGAAACUGUUGGGCUUGAGUGUGGUAGGGGCAGAGGGAAUUCCCGGUGUAGCGGUGAAAUGCGUAGAUAUCGGGAAGAACACCAGUGGCGAAGGCGCUCUGCUGGGCCAUAACUGACGCUCAUGGACGAAAGCCAGGGGAGCGAAAGGGAUUAGAUACCCCUGUAGUCA
rnacentral:rRNA from 1 species